rnacentral:lncRNA from 1 species
AAAAGAGGAGCUGCUUGAGGAGAGCGUGUUUGGGUUCGGAGGGGUCGAGGUAGGAGAGGACUCUGUAGCCACCGGGAUUUUGCAGAUCAGGAGCUUGGUGAGCUCGGGGAGGUGACCGACAUUGCCGGUAGUGAUUUCUCAUCAACGGAGGCUCUGAUGAAGGGCACGUAAUUGGAAGAGGGUUGUUUUCUUGCAGAGGAGAACUCCAUUCGUAGGAAUGGGGAAGAAAGUGUCGAGGAAGAUGAUGAUGCCAUGUCAUAAUGUCUCAAAUUUCCACAUAAUCAAACACUUUGACAUCACCAUGCAACACAUCAGCAACUGUUAACGCCGUUUGUGAAGAUUUAACGGACAUGACUUAAUUGACUCAAUUUUUCAAAUAUUUAGACUUAAUUAGCUCAAUUUUACAAAUAUUAUGACCCAAUUGAGACAGUUGCAAAAAUGAGGACCCAAUUGAGAUUACUGUACAAAGUAAGGACCAACCGAGAGUUUAAACCUAUAUAUAUAUAUAUAUAUAUAUAUAUAUAUAUAUAUAUAUAUAUAUAUAUAUAUAUUCAACACAAGGGAGACUAAUCUCAUACACAAUUUUUCACUAUAUUCAACAAAUAUAUCUAGAAAGGAUGAAUUGUUGAUACCAAAUCAAGUUGGCCUUCGCUUCCCCAUGGGCUUUCUUCUCAUCAACAAGCGUCAUUUUAAAGUUUUUGCUCCUUUUCUUCAACUUCUUCUCGGAGUGAAGUUACCUAGUCUUCCAUGUCUUAGCCUUCCCUCACUUUCAUACCUCUUCCCUUCCAAGAUCUCUUUUUCCUUAGCUUAGGCCUUCUUAUAAGCUUCAUACUUCUUCUUUAGAUUGGCUAACUCGUCGGCCAUCUUGGCCUUGCCCUCAUCAAUAAUCUCCUUCUUCAGUAGAUUGAUUAUUCUAUGCCCACACACAAGUGUAUUAUCAUGUGUUGGAAGUCCCACAUCGACUAGAGAUAAGGCCAAAUUAUAAUAUAUAAGUGAGGUGCAAACCUCACCUUACAAGCCGGUUUUGUGGGGUUGAGUUAGGCCUAAAAACCCACUUCUAAUAUGGUAUCAGAGCCAUGAUUAGAGCCUAUCCUAGCGAGUUCUAAGUGGGUAUUUCUCUUUCUAUUCCACCCGUUGUCGGGCCGCUAUUGGACCACCCAAUUUCUAUUAUCACGCACAAGAUGUCUAUACCUCGGCGUGAAGGGGGUGUGUUGGAAGUCCCACAUCGACUAGAGAUAAGGCCAAAUUAUAAUAUAUAAGUGAGGUGCAAACCUCACCUUACAAGCCGGUUUUGUGGGGUUGAGUUAGGCCUAAAAACCCACUUCUAAUAUCAUGAAACUUUAGAAAGGCAUGAAUAAGGGUAGUUGGCUUAUUCUCUUCCACAACCUUUAUCUUAUACUUACUCAAUCUUAUAUGGAAGCCUUUGUGCAUAUUGAAUUGAGUACUCUUCAACCGACCAAAGUUAUUAUCCUUUCUCCUAGAACUGCCAGCUUGGGUGUCAAACUCAGUCCUCAUCCUCUUCCUGUCCUUCCCCACAUAUUGCCCCUUAGUAGGUUGGAUCUUCUUAGUAAUGCUUUGGAGCUGAUAGGUGUCCACCAUAGGACUUGUCAGGUUGGAUACCGUAUUUGUCGCCCCUCUCUUCUUGGUUUCAACCUCCAUCUUGCUCCUAAGAUUAUGAAAUAAGUCCCUUGUUCCCAACUUAGCUUUGUGUUGGGCCAUGUAACCUAAAAAUACCAAAAAGCCUUCAUAUUAGAAAAAAAUUAAAACUUAUCGGACUUAAAAUUGACCUAUAUUGAAAUUUCUAUUUUUUUAAAAUCAAUCCAAAUCAAACCUUUAGUGGACUAAAUUAACUCUUGAAACUUAUUUUGACAACACUCCCUCUAAGUUUUUAAAUUACCAAUUCCAUCACACAGCACAAAUUCAAUUCAAUACAUCACUCCUAUUUCCAUUCUCCUCCAACUUGAAGAUAUGUUCAGAGAAAAAAAAAUAAAAUAAAAAAGUAAAGUGUAUGUGAGAAAUAAAAAACUGGAAAUAAAAGUUUUCUUUUGUUCCUUGAACGUCUUGAAAACUAAAAACCUAUCUCAAUUUGAGUCCUGAAAAUUUAAGGGAUGGGCAAAGACAUGCAAGGCUCUUCAUUGGAAAUGAAGAUUGCAACAGAAUAGAAAUAGAGUGUCCUUCUGUUGAGCUUGAUUUAUGAUUUUUUUUCGUAUGGUAUACUCGUGGUCUGCUUGACCAUGAUCAUGACCGGGGUAUCAUUGGCUUUGCCUGUUUCGACGAGGUCGGACUUGAGCUGGUUGAAGAGGUCUUUGUAGGAGGCGUGGAACUCCAGGAUGACGUGGGCGCAUAGGGACUUGAGGAGGAAAAAGAGGAGUUGCUUGAGGAGAGCGUGUUUGGGUUCGGAGGGGUUGAGUUAGGAGAGGACUCUGUAGCCGCUGGGAUUUUGCAGAUCAGGAGCUUGGUGGGCUCGGGGAGGUGACCGACACUGUCGGUAGUGAUUUCUCAUAAACAGAGGCUCUGAUGAAGGGCACGUAAUUGCAAGAGGGUUGUUUUCUUGCAGAGGGGAACUCCAUUCACUGGAAUAGGGAGGAAAGUGUCGAGGAAGACAAUGAUGCCAUGUCAUAAUGUCUCAAAUUUCCACAUAAUCAAACACUUUGACAUCAUCAUGCAACACAUUAGCAUCUGUUAACGCCGUUUGUGAAGAUU